GGCAUGGGGGAGCUACACAUGCAGUCGAGCGGUAGCACAGAGAGCUUGCUCUCGGGUGACGAGCGGCGGACGGGUGAGUAAUGUCUGGGAAACUGCCUGAUGGAGGGGGAUAACUACUGGAAACGGUAGCUAAUACCGCAUAACGUCGCAAGACCAAAGUGGGGGACCUUCGGGCCUCAUGCCAUCAGAUGUGCCCAGAUGGGAUUAGCUAGUAGGUGGGGUAACGGCUCACCUAGGCGACGAUCCCUAGCUGGUCUGAGAGGAUGACCAGCCACACUGGAACUGAGACACGGUCCAGACUCCUACGGGAGGCAGCAGUGGGGAAUAUUGCACAAUGGGCGCAAGCCUGAUGCAGCCAUGCCGCGUGUGUGAAGAAGGCCUUCGGGUUGUAAAGCACUUUCAGCGGGGAGGAAGGCGGUAAGGUUAAUAACCUUGUCGAUUGACGUUACCCGCAGAAGAAGCACCGGCUAACUCCGUGCCAGCAGCCGCGGUAAUACGGAGGGUGCAAGCGUUAAUCGGAAUUACUGGGCGUAAAGCGCACGCAGGCGGUCUGUCAAGUCGGAUGUGAAAUCCCCGGGCUCAACCUGGGAACUGCAUUCGAAACUGGCAGGCUAGAGUCUUGUAGAGGGGGGUAGAAUUCCAGGUGUAGCGGUGAAAUGCGUAGAGAUCUGGAGGAAUACCGGUGGCGAAGGCGGCCCCCUGGACAAAGACUGACGCUCAGGUGCGAAAGCGUGGGGAGCAAACAGGAUUAGAUACCCUGGUAGUCCACGCCGUAAACGAUGUCGAUUUGGAGGUUGUGCCCUUGAGGCGUGGCUUCCGGAGCUAACGCGUUAAAUCGACCGCCUGGGGAGUACGGCCGCAAGGUUAAAACUCAAAUGAAUUGACGGGGGCCCGCACAAGCGGUGGAGCAUGUGGUUUAAUUCGAUGCAACGCGAAGAACCUUACCUGGUCUUGACAUCCACAGAACUUUCCAGAGAUGGAUUGGUGCCUUCGGGAACUGUGAGACAGGUGCUGCAUGGCUGUCGUCAGCUCGUGUUGUGAAAUGUUGGGUUAAGUCCCGCAACGAGCGCAACCCUUAUCCUUUGUUGCCAGCGGUUAGGCCGGGAACUCAAAGGAGACUGCCAGUGAUAAACUGGAGGAAGGUGGGGAUGACGUCAAGUCAUCAUGGCCCUUACGACCAGGGCUACACACGUGCUACAAUGGCAUAUACAAAGAGAAGCGACCUCGCGAGAGCAAGCGGACCUCAUAAAGUAUGUCGUAGUCCGGAUUGGAGUCUGCAACUCGACUCCAUGAAGUCGGAAUCGCUAGUAAUCGUAGAUCAGAAUGCUACGGUGAAUACGUUCCCGGGCCUUGUACACACCGCCCGUCACACCAUGGGAGUGGGUUGCAAAAGAAGUAGGUAGCUUAACCUUCGGGAGGGCGCUACCACUUGAUUCGGC
rnacentral:rRNA from 1 species